rnacentral:rRNA from 1 species
ACGUAGGUGGCAAGCGUUGUCCGGAUUUACUGGGCGUAAAGAGCGCGCAGGCGGUCGGAUAAGUCGAAUGUGAAAGCCCCUGGCUCAACCAGGGAGGGUCAUUCGAUACUGUUCGACUCGAAGGCAGGAGAGGGAAGUGGAAUUCCGGGUGUAGUGGUGAAAUGCGUAGAUAUCCGGAGGAACACCAGUGGCGAAGGCGACCUUCUGGCCUGUUCUUGACGCUGAGGCGCGAAAGCUAGGGGAGCAAACGGGA